UGCAGUCGAACGCAGUAGCAAUACUGAGUGGCAAACGGGUGAGUAUAAUGUGGGAAUCUGCCUUUUGGUUUGGAAUAACACGGGGAAACUUGUGCUAAUACCGGAUAAGCCCUUACGGGGAAAGUUUUAACGCCGAAAGAUGAGCCUGCACUUGAUUAGCUAGUUGGUAAGGUAAAGGCUUACCAAGGCAACGAUCAAUAGCUGUUCUUAGAGGAAGACCAGCCACAUUGGGACUGAGACACGGCCCAGACUCCUACGGGAGGCAGCAGUGGGGAAUCUUGCACAAUGGGGGAAACCCUGAUGCAGCGAUGCCGCGUGAGUGAAGAAGGCCUUUGGGUUGUAAAACUCUUUCGUCGGGGAAGAAAAUGACUGUACCCGAAUAAGAAGGUCCGGCUAACUUCGUGCCAGCAGCCGCGGUAAUACGAAGGGACCUAGCGUAGUUCGGAAUUACUGGGCUUAAAGAGCUCGUAGGUGGUUAAAAAAGUUGAUGGUGAAAUCCCAAGGCUCAACCUUGGAACUGCCAUCAAAACUUUUUAGCUAGAGUGUGAUAGAGGUAAGUGGAAUUUCUAGUGUAGAGGUGAAAUUCGUAGAUAUUAGAAAGAACACCAAAUGCGAAGGCAACUUACUGGGUCACUACUGACACUGAGGAGCGAAAGCAUGGGUAGCGAAGAGGAUUAGAUACCCUCGUAGUCCAUGCCGUAAACGAUGUGUGCUAGACGUUGGAAAUAUAUUUUUCAGUGUCGCAGCGAAAGCAUUAAGCACACCGCCUGGGGAGUACGACCGCAAGGUUAAAACUCAAAUGAAUUGACGGGGACCCGCACAAGCAGUGGAGCAUGUGGUUUAAUUCGAAGAUACGCGCAGAACCUUACCAACACUUGACAUGUUCGUCGCGAGACUA
rnacentral:rRNA from 1 species